UACGGAGGGAGCUAGCGUUGUUCGGAAUUACUGGGCGUAAAGCGUGCGCAGGCGGUUCGCUGUGUCCGAUGUGAAAGCCCCGGGCUUAACCUGGGAAUGGCAUUGGAAACUGGCGGGCUUGAGUGUGGCAGAGGGGGGUGGAAUUCCGCGUGUAGCAGUGAAAUGCGUAGAGAUGCGGAGGAACACCGAUGGCGAAGGCAGCCCCCUGGGCUAACACUGACGCUCAGGCACGAAAGCGUGGGGAGCAAACAGG
rnacentral:rRNA from 1 species